GAAACUGCCAGACAAUGGCUAUUUCUUAUUAAAUAAUAGAAUAAAUGUAGAACUACAACUGUGGGAGACCAGAGGAGAAGUGCGGCCUCACUGGCCUCCUGUGUGAGCACAAAGGAGGAAGGCUGCACUUGGGGGACCGCAUAGUGCACGUUAGGGAAAGGUUAAGACAGCUGAGGUUAGGUUGUUUACCUGAGAAUGUGCUAGCGGGUACUGGAAAGCAGGUGACUCUUGUGUUACUCUGAUUGCUCGCACUUGAGCGGAUGAAUGAAAGCGAGGUGAGGGAGGGCCUCAGGCUUCUCCGCCUGCUAGAGGUGAGCACCCCUGGCUGCCCACAUGCUGAGCUGACUCCAUGUCUGUGACUCAUCCUCGUUCACCCAUGGCUCAGGGAGAACAAACUUGAUAAUCGAGACGCCACUCCAGCCUAAAGAAUUACACUUGAGGAGCCGCUACUGCCAGCUGCAUUUUCUGAACAACCUAAGCUGAUUUACCAUCAUCAAGGGUGAACUCGGUAAGCACACCGCACAGUGCUCGCUGAUACCUGUGAGGAGCCUGCUGCCGAGCUUAGGAAGAGCCUGUGCCCACAGGAAGCACCGGAGACGCUGGGCUCCCGCUCUGCAGGGGCUGAGGGGUCACUGGAUCGCGCAGCGCGGAGGCUGCCCGCGGCUGAAGGGUCCCGCACGGGGGCGCCCAGGCGCCCAGGCAGGCUCAGUAGCGGAGGCCAGGCCUUCCCUUUGCACCGCGGCCCGAAGGGACAGGGCGGGGCGGCACCGUGCUGGGUGCGCUCAGCGUGGAGAAGAUGAACCCUGCGGCGCCCCCAGUUCCUCGUCUGCGCCCGCACGCGGGGAACAGAUCCGCCCCAAGGCCUCGGGCCGCGGUGUGCAGCACGCCCUCCCCGCCCGAUGGAGGAGGAGGAAAGAGACUUGAGAAGCUUCCACCAGGGCUGGCGUUUACACUGGGGUGAGAACCGAAAGGGGGCUGCCGUGCUGUGGAUCUGUACAGGAGCCCAGCAAGGCUAAACACUGCUUUUCUACCAAAAGGACUGGACUGAAACAAGGAACAUUUCAAAGUGAAAGUGUUUUUUGAUAAAUGCUCACAUUUCUUAGAUCUGCCAACUGCGAGGGCCGCAGGAAGUACAAGGAAGCAGCUGUGUGCCAGCGCUUGCGAACAAACUCCUUCCUGCAGCAGGGUAGUGUGUGCCCGGGUGAUGGUCUCUGCAGGGCAGUCCCUCUGUGUGACGGUCUCGGGAGGCAGGGAGGUGACAAAGGCAAUGUGUGAUUUGUUCUCAGUAAAGAGCCAUCUGAUUCUCUCAACUGCACUUGGUAACCUUACUCUGCAUCUUCCAAGAACAUGGUCCCUGGAGGUUCAAAUGUCCAAUCAGAUUUUAUUUUGGAGACAAGAUAAACUCCUCAAAGUUAAGCAAAUUACAUAACAGAUUUCUUUAUGGAUAUAAAAAUGAUUCCUGAACAUAGAAAUCCCGUAUUCAGUGGGGAUGAAGUAGAUACCAUAAAGCACAGUACAGAACUCAAUCUUUGUAUGUCCCUAUGUGAAUGCCCUCCCCUCUUCACCCUUGCAGAAUCUUAACUUUGUCUCCUAAAAGAACUAGAGUCCAUAAUUAGUUACUGUAAGGAAGGACAACACAAGAACUUCCCCUCCUCAACACGUCCCACACCCCAGCUCCAUCUGUUUCCCGCCCUCUUCUCUCGUCCACAUAUUGUCCAUCCUACACACGUCAUAAUGGCUAUGUGUACGAACAGUGCAAGAACACUUGAAGCCCAAAGUACUAUCUGAAAUGAGCUGUAAUCUCAUCUUUUUACAUACAGGAUCUUAAAACCUUAGGAGCAGCAAGAAAAAUGCAGAUCAAUCCGCUUAUGGGACCUAACAUUUGGGAGAUACGUAGUAACAACAGGAGGAAUUGUAACAAUGACCAUCUGUACAGGAGACCUAAGAACAGAAGCUCUGUGCAAUCAGGAAAAGCCCGUUGCUUUUUAUUUCUUUGAUGUCCAAGACAUAUGCUGUCUGUGGUAACCCUUGCGUUUCCAACAUAGGUGAAGGCAAAGCUAGAAUGUGGCAUCAAUGAGAAACGGUUCUUCACCAGAUACCUAAUCUACUGUCACCUUGCUCUUAAACUUCCUAGCCUCUAAGGGUCUGACAAGUAAACUUCUACAGCUCACAAGCCAACCCCAGUUUAUGGUCUUAGUACAGCAUCUCCAAUGAACUAAGACACUUUACACCACAGGCUGGGUUAAGUGCCCCCUCUGAAUACUUAUCUUCACCACUCAACAAACCAAAGUAGAGAGAUAAUUCUUUAUUAUUUGUUUGACGCUGGGCAUAUAAAGAUGCUGAAUAAAUGCUUCUGAAUGAAUCUGCAAAUAUAUUUGAUCCUUAAGGACAAGUAGUAUAUUUUACUCAAUCUUGCUAGCUCUAGCACCAUGAAAGUGUAUAUAGUACCUUCCCAAUAAAUGCACUUCUUUGGCGAAUACUUCUUAUACAUGUUAUAGACACAUCCAGUUCCUAAGACCUUCUUGAAUGUCAAAAUAUUAAUCACUUGGAUAAAUUAAUUUUCACAUUCUUAAAUCAUCUGGACUCUUCUAGUGUAAUAAAGGGAUUUGAAAUAUACAAGAGAUGUUCCUCCUAAAGGCAUCACUCCACAUUUGUCAUCUACCUCAUAAAACUUGGGGACAGGAUGGACAUGGAGACCACUUCCUGCCAACACCCUGCUUCAGAUCUGAUCGGGCUCCUCCUACAGGUGCAACACCAGGGGCCAAGGUGUGCACCAAAGACCUGCAAGGCACCAUGCACCGGGAAACAUCGGGUCCCACACACGCUUAGUAUUUCCAGAGGCCUAGACACCUUCAGGUUUUGCUCACAUGUCCAUGGUAGAAUCUGUAACCAAGGACUGUACCCUGUUCAAGCAGAAAAGGACUUAGGGAAACAGGAAAAAUUAAGUUACACAGAGCACUGAAAAUGGACACAGAAAGUGGUAGGUUGUCUCAUGCCUCACGAUUUUGAGUUACCACUAAAGAAACAGUACAGUCAGCCCUUGAUAUUCACAGGGAAUUAGUUCCAGGACGCCCUGAGGAUGUCAAAAGGCACAAAUUCGCAAGACCUUUAUAUAAAACCAUGCAGUGUUUUCAUGCAACCUACUCAUAUCUUCCCACAUAGUCAUGACUGGCAUAAUGUUUUGGUCAACAUUUGAUGGCAGUCCCAUAGAUUUUAUCAAGUGGUGACAUUGUAGCUAUCUUAGUUUGUGUAAGAGUGCUCUAUGCUGUUUCCACAGUGACAAAUCACAUAGGAAGCAUUUCACACAACUCAUCCCUGUCAUUGAGCAACACAGGACCAUACCUCAAAUCACUUAUAAUACCUAAUACAUUGUAACUGUUAUGUCAAUUGUUGUAUUGUUUAGGGAUCAAUGACAAAGGAAAUCUAUACUUCAAUGUAGACACAAUGUUUUUUAAAUAUAUUUGAUCUGAGGUUGACAGAAUCCAUGGAUCCAGAACCCACAAAUAAAAAGUAGCCAGCUGUAUAACCGACCUCAAAAGGAUGUCAGAACUGGAGCUCUACAGGCUUUAGCUGAGGGGGGCUGAACAUUACUGAGGCGACAGUACAAGCUCACAUGACAUGAGAUCUGCCACUCCAAAGCUCUCUGAUUUUCAAGAAACUACUGCUGCCUAUGUUUCUUAAUCUGUUAAAUGCAGACUUGUGGCUCAGAUGAAUUGGAUUAGUAUAGAAAGUCUUUGGCCAAUAGUAAAUCCUAUUGUUAUUUGCUGGCAUUAAUGUCAUUAUUAGCAAACUAGUCAAGGAAGUAACAACCCUAUGUUCUCUAACACAAACAUAAACCAAAACCACUAAGUCAGUAAUUGCUUCCUACAAGUCAUCAUUAAAAGCAACUCAGAAAAUAAGCUGUAACUGUUCACCAAUUAAGGUUUUUAUUGUGUUUAUUUCUACAAAACCACUUCCUCUCCCCCACAAAGACAGAAGAGGAAGAGCCUGGGAAGAGGAGCACAGUCUCUGGAGUUUCCCCCAGGAGAGGGUGGAGGGACUUGUCUGGGGAAAGGACCUGAGAUCUCUUCUAGGUCCCGGGCAGCUCCUGGCAGUGCUUUACACUGAUGUCUACCAGCUGUUCUGGCCAUGAUGCUUUUGAAUGCAAUGGAGGAGCAAGGCAGCCUGUUAAAAUGAAUCGAUGGGGAGAACCAGGGCGGUGUGCAUGCUGCCGUCCAACCCUGAACCAAGUCCUCCGGGCUGGGUAUGGCACACACAUGCACACAGGGACACAACGUGGACCUGACCUGUUGCAGGACUCCUACUCACAGCUGUCGGCACAUGGCCACCUUCUGCAUCAUGUCCUUUGAGUGCAUGAGCUCAGGAGCUUUCCUUGUGAGGUGCAGGAAACCCAGCCUGACCUCCCCAUAUUCGCCCCUGCCUUGGCAGCCCACCAAGAAACACUUGAUGGCUCCACGCUGCAGCUACAUGCCGGAGGCAACCCAGACAACUCAGGUGCUUACAGAGGAAGGUGUAGAACUUCCCAGUGGCCCCAUUGGUCCUGGCUACUGCCGGAGGGUAAGUCUAGCUCACCCCUUCCAGAAAAUUCUUUUGGUCUCAACCAUAGCUGCCUGACAUAGAGAGAGUUUCUUCUGAAGGAUGCAUAAGAGCAACUGGUUCUGUUUGAGACUCCACUGCUGAUGCGGGUGCUACGGGUAGAAGAGGAGAUCACAGUACUAUGCUGGAAGGCUGUGCUAGGGAAAGGCGGUCUUCAUCUCCAGCCCAGGGAAGGAACGAACAGGCACUUCAGCUGUUCUCCUGGGACUCCUGGUCCUCCUUAAGAUGCUGAGUUCCUGGUUAGAGAACCCAGUAAGGAGGGAAUGGCAGAUGUGCUGGUUUGAGCUGACAGCAACUCUAGACUCUGUCUCACAGAUGAGAAAGAACUGCAGCAGCUGGAGGAGUCAGCUGAAGGCAGGGGCUUCUUGGUGAUGGUGUGGCCCUCCAGCUGGGGUGUUUUACAGCCCAGAAGCAGAGAGCUGGCCACUGCUUCUUCCUACUCCUGCCUGCUAAUGAGUCAUGAAUGUGGCCCCAUUCAUAGCCCAUGCAUGGCAUCAACUCAGACUGGAAAGGCAUGACAAUCAGGGAGUGGGUUGAAGUAAGGCCUC